CUUUAAAUCGGCAAAACAGAUAAUCCUCUGGGCACUUUCCCUUUAAAAUCCGGUCGAACAUUAUAGGCGCCUAAACCGGCGCGUAAACUAAAAACGGCUGUUUAUUGUUUAGUUAGCUGGCUGGCUAGCUAGCUAAGUUAGAAACGCGCUCCUUUUGAACUUCAGCUAACGGGCUGUUACCGAAAUUAAAUUUUCCAGUUAGAUAUGGCUACCUGCGAAUGCCAUUUCCAAAAUACUUCAGCUUUUCUAGUUAACGAUAUUGCCGUUUGACAAUUCUGGAGUCUGUCGCCGAAUGGGGCCAGCUAUUUAACACCCGAGAAGUACAUUUACAUAGCCAUUUAAAGUAUUUUUUUUAUAACUUAUUCGCUCUCGGGUUGUGUUAGAUUUCACAUUAUUCAAAAUGACUUCCGCUUUGGAAGACCCAACGCUUGAGAGACAUUUUAAGGGUCACAGAGACACCAUAACUAGUGUGGACUUCAACAGCAACAUGAAGCAAAUAGCCACAGGCUCUAUGGACUCGUGUAUCAUGAUCUGGAACAUGAAGAGUCAGAUGAGAGCUUAUCGCUUUGUGGGACACAAGGACGCAGUGAUGUCCGUCCAGUUUUCCCCCUCAGGACACCUUGUAGCAUCAGCAUCCAGGGACAAGACUGUCCGCCUCUGGGUACCCAGUGUGAAGGGUGAGUCGACCUCCUUCCGUGCACACACUGGCACAGUCCGCAGCGUGAGCUUCUCCGGCGAUGGCCAGUCCCUGGUCACAGCCUCUGAUGACAAGACCGUCAAAGUGUGGACGGUGCACCGACAGAAGUUCCUAUUCUCCCUCAAUCAGCACAUCAACUGGGUGCGCUGUGCCAAGUUUUCUCCAGAUGGUCGGCUGAUUCUUUCAUCCAGUGACGACAAAACCGUCAAGGUCUGGGACAAAACCAGCCGCGAGUGUGUGCACUCCUUUUAUGAGCAUGGAGGGUGUGUGACGCAUGCUGAUUUCCACCCCAGUGGCACCUGCAUCGCGGCCGCCAGCACGGACAGCACCGUCAAGGUGUGGGACAUCCGCACCACCAAGCUGCUGCAGCACUACCAAGUGCACAGCGCGGUGGUGAAUGGGCUGUCCUUCCACCCAUCUGGGAACUACCUCAUCACGGCCUCCAAUGACUCCACACUGAAGGUGCUGGACCUGCUGGAAGGGCGGCUGCUGUACACUUUGCACGGACAUCAGGGCUCUGCUACCUGUGUGUCUUUCUCCAGGACCGGUGACUACUUCGCCUCUGGUGGAUCAGACGAGCAGGUCAUGGUGUGGAAGACUAACUUCGACUCCGCUGAUUAUGGUGAGGUGCUGCGGGUCCAGAAGAGUGCUGCCGGAGCAGAGGGCCCAGCGCUGGCCUCGGACCCCCCCCCUGGCCAGUGCUCGGAGACCCCUAGGCUCCCGGAGAACCCGGGGCCGCUUCCGGGCACAAGAGGGCGCACCAGGAGCACGGGCCAGGCCUUGGAAAUCCCCAGAGAGCGCCACCCGCAGCCUGAGACUGCCGUGUCUGACGCGCUGACCAGCACUCUGGAGCACAUCGUGGGCCAGCUGACUGUUCUCACCCAGUUGGGAGAGUUUAUGCCUUAGGUGUGACCACAGGAAGUUCUCUCCAUGAGAAGGACACGUUAAACACGCUGGAAUCGUUUAGAAGGUCACCAAGAGAUACGCCGUUUGUAUAGUUUAUUCAGCAAUUCAGAGUCCUUUGGGCCAGAACACAGCUGCAAAUGGAAACUCUGAUUCAGUCUCUUGCAGUUGCUGCUUCACAUCAGAUUCAUGCAUCUUCUUUGGUUUUUAAGUGAUUUUGACAUUUUUUGACUUAUGGGCUGUUCCCAAGAGCUCAUGGGUAUGUGUUUGGCUCAAGAAGACCAUUUCGGGUUUCUUCCAGGGCCACCAAUGCAAAGCUUUGUCCUUCACUUUAAUUCAGGCACAAUCUCUCUCUCUUGUGGGGUUUUACAUGGUAUUUUCUGUAGUUGCUUUUCUGUGAUUGUAAUGGUACCAGUUAGCACACUGUAGUCUGGUGCCUUCCUCUUGUAGAUAAAAUGUCACUCAGCAUGCAGUUUUUUGUUUUGUUUUAUAUUCUACACAGGAGCAGAAAUAGCUUUAAUGUAUGUAGAGCUAGCUAUCUGCAGGUCGAAUAUGACUGAAAGAUGUUCGAAACUUGAACAUAUGAACGCAAAGUAGAAUGACUACUUCAAACCUACUUUACAUUUGACUGGCAUAUAUAGCAAGUUCAUCUCCGCUUGCUUGUGUGGGUUUUGAAGGCACUUGCUGCCUUGUUUUGGUAACUGUAUUUCCUACAGGCCUCAAGCUUAAAAAUGUAUUGGAUCGAUAUGCAUCGAUCAGCCCCUCUCUUAGGGUAGGAGACUCCAGAAUUGCAACAAAUGUCUCAUAUUAGUACUCUGAAAGUAUUUCAAUUGAGCAUUUGAUUUCAGAUUUAUGUUCAGAUUUGUAUAUUUGU